CCAUCCAUCCUGGCUGAGGAAGCAGCUGGAGGGAGCCAAGAUAAGUCCAAAGUGAAAUGUUUUUGGAGAGCCCACACAGGCAUGAAGAAGCCACGCAGAGCCUGGAGUGUGGUGCUGGAGAGGGUAGAGAGGUCAGCCAAAGCUGCGCCUUGCAGAACAUGGCCCACCUCUUCACGAGAGAGGAUGCUGCUGCUCCGGAACCGCACAAACUGGCCCAGGGAGAGAAGCCCCAAACAUGUAGUGAUUCGGCAUCUCCUUCAUUCACAGGAUGACAUUCUUCAGACCACAGGACCAUCCUUUCUGCACUUACCAGGGUCAUGAGCCUCAAGAUCUCAGCUCUGAGGAAGGAAUUCUCUCCAGCAUCCAGGAGGGUAAAUAGCAAAAACCGAUUCCAGGGCUGGGAGGCCACAUGGAGUGCUAUGGGAAACACCAGUCAACCGUGCGUUCUUAAUGCUGCUUUUCCAAAGGCCUUGGAACAUUGCUAAAGAAAACUUUCUCCUAUU